GGAUCAGUACGCUGGUCGUGCCUUCGGUAUGUACUGGUGUUACUGGUUCCUACCUUCUGACGAACCGUCAUGUCAUUAAUUUGGUGUGGCGGGGAAUCAGGACUGUUACUUUGAAAAAAUUAGAGUGUUUAAAGCAGGCUAACGCCUGAAUACAUUAGCAUGGAAUAAUGAAAUAGGACG
rnacentral:rRNA from 1 species